UGCUGUUCUUGUCAAGCUAACAUCCUUGCUCCAGGCGUUCUCCGGGUACAAUGUGAUGGAAUUGAAGCUUCUUUUUGCAAUUUUUGUUUUGUUUUGUUUUGUUUCAUUUGAAUAAUUAGCUCUGGUAGGUUUGUUAUUCUUGUCGCUGCUUCGUUGGGCACGCCUUCUGCGCAGAUCAUUUGCCAGAGCUUUGAAAAGGUUUAAGCAUCAGCUUAUUUGUGUUACUUUUGGGAAGAUCGAUGAUGUGAAUCACUGGUUCCUUGCUGAGCACUAAAUCGAAUGGCUUGGAGAUAUUAUUCUUUCUCUAAUUCUAAUUAGGACCUUUAAUUUGAUCGCAAACGUAGCCCUUUGGCGUUGAUCACUGAUCGAUGUCAUUUACAUGCUGAAACAGAACCC